UACAGAGGUCUCAAGCGUUGUUCGGAUUCAUUGGGCGUAAAGGGUGUGUAGGUGGCGCGGUUAGUCGGGUGUGAAAUUUCGGAGCUUAACUCCGAAACUGCAUUCGAUACUGGCGUGCUUGAGGACUGGAGAGGAGACUGGAAUUCAUGGUGUAGCAGUGAAAUGCGUAGAGAUCAUGAGGAAGACCAGUGGCGAAGGCGGGUCUCUGGACAGUUCCUGACACUGAGACACGAAGGCCAGGGGAGCAAACGGG
rnacentral:rRNA from 1 species